rnacentral:rRNA from 1 species
CCCAGACUCCUACGGGAGGCAGCAGUGGGGAAUAUUGGGCAAUGGGGGAAACCCUGACCCAGCGACGCCGCGUGAGGGAAGAAGGUUUUCGGAUUGUAAACCACUGUCCCCAGGGACGAAGAUGACGGUACCUGGGGAGGAAGCUCCGGCUAACUACGUGCCAGCAGCCGCGGUAAUACGUAGGGGGCAAGCGUUAUCCGGAUUUACUGGGUGUAAAGGGAGCGUAGACGGCAUGGCAAGUCAGAUGUGAAAGCCCGGGGCUCAACCCCGGGACUGCAUUUGAAACUGUCAGGCUGGAGUGCAGGAGAGGUAAGUGGAAUUCCUAGUGUAGCGGUGAAAUGCGUAGAUAUUAGGAGGAACACCAGUGGCGAAGGCGGCUUACUGGACUGUAACUGACGUUGAGGCUCGAAAGCGUGGGGAGCAAACAGGAUUAGAUACCCGUGUAA